UACGUAGGGUGCAAGCGUUGUCCGGAAUUAUUGGGCGUAAAGGGCUCGUAGGCGGUUCGUCACGUCGGGAGUGAAAACUCGGAGCUCAACUCCGAGCCUGCUUCCGAUACGGGCAGACUAGAGGUAGGCAGGGGAGACUGGAAUUCCUGGUGUAGCGGUGGAAUGCGCAGAUAUCAGGAGGAACACCGAUGGCGAAGGCAGGUCUCUGGGCCGCAACUGACGCUGAGGAGCGAAAGCAUGGGGAGCGAACAGG
rnacentral:rRNA from 1 species